CCUACGGGAGGCAGCAGUGAGGAAUAUUGGUCAAUGGGCUUACGCCUGAACCAGCCAAGUCGCGUGAGGGAAGACUGCCCUAUGGGUUGUAAACCUCUUUUGUCAGGGAGCAAUUGGCGCUACGUGUAGCGUUAUCGAGAGUACCUGAAGAAAAAGCAUCGGCUAACUCCGUGCCAGCAGCCGCGGUAAUACGGAGGAUGCGAGCGUUAUCCGGAUUGAUUGGGUUUAAAGGGUGCGUAGGCGGAAUGCCAAGUCAGCGGUAAAAUCGCGGGGCUCAACCUCGCUCCGCCGUUGAAACUGGCGUUCUUGAGUGGGCGAGAAGUAUGCGGAAUGCGUGGUGUAGCGGUGAAAUGCAUAGAUAUCACGCAGAACUCCGAUUGCGAAGGCAGCAUACCGGCGCCCAACUGACGCUGAAGCACGAAAGCGUGGGUAUCGAACAGGAUUAGAUACCCUGGUAGU
rnacentral:rRNA from 1 species